rnacentral:lncRNA from 1 species
ACAGGUCCACAUGCUAAAACCUUGGUCGACAGCCUGUGUUACUAUUAGAAUGUGUUGGAACCGUUGGAAGGUAGAGCCCAGUGGAAACAAGUUAGGUCGAUGGAAUGAACCCUUAGAGGAAAUUUGGUCUUGGCACUUCUCUCUUACCGGUUCCCAGCAAGGAUGCAUAUCAGAAUGGACUUUCUCUCCAGCCUGGCGUUUCUGUGUGCUGCUUAGGUAAUGGAAUGGCACUCAAGUCCCAAGGGAUAUGUUCCCAGAGGGAGCAUCUUCAGUGCUAUUCUGAAGGCACCGGGAUGUGUGACACAUGUGGCCAUGGAUCAACUCCUUCUUCAUUUAGAAACUCAUGUUUGUUUGCAAUGAGCUGUGAUGGAGUGGAAGAUGGUCUGUGGAAGGAUGAGGAGGGUUGUGCGCGGGAGCUUGCAUUGUUUGACCUUGCUUUUCUGGCUAGGCUGCACCAUCCAUCCUGCCGGAAGUGAUCCUUAGCAAGUCCUUUCGCUUCAUCAUGCCGGCUCCCGAAUGAAGACCCACACCUUUCAAAAUUGUUGAGAUUUCUUCAGUGGACAGCAGGAGUGAUUUAUUUUUCCA